GGCUUAUUGAUACUUGUUGUGAUAUUUGAGGUGUUUGUGUUGCUGGUAUUGAGGGAGAACCUCUUAACCUUAAUGAGCAUGUUGCAGAAGCAAUAGCUGCUGGUUUUGCAGCAUGGAUAAUGUUCUUCGCUCGUACACUCCAAUAUCCCGGUUCCAUGGGUUACUUUCAUUUAUUGGUUAAGAUUUAUCCAAAGGGAAAAUGAGCCAGCAUCUGGCGUAUAUAAAACCAUACGAUAUGCUCUAAGGAGGUUCCUCCUUGCCCAACGACGCUGAAAAGAGAGUUGCAUCAAGAAACUUAUAGGAUUUGGCUCUAA